rnacentral:rRNA from 1 species
AACGAACGCUGGCGGCAUGCCUAACACAUGCAAGUCGAACGAGACCUUCGGGUCUAGUGGCGCACGGGUGCGUAACGCGUGGGAACCUGCCCUUAGGUUCGGAAUAACUCCCCGAAAGGUGUGCUAAUACCGGUUAAUGUCUUCGGACCAAAGAUUUAUCGCCUUUGGAUGGGCCCGCGUUGGAUUAGCUCGUUGGUAGGGUAAAAGCCUACCAAGGCGACGUUACAUAGCUGGUCUGAGAGGAUGAUCAGCCACACUGGGACUGAGACACGGCCCAGACUCCUACGGGAGGCAGCAGUGGGGAAUAUUGGACAAUGGGCGAAAGCCUGAUCCAGCAAUGCCGCGUGAGUGAUGAAGGCCUUAGGGUUGUAAAGCUCUUUUACCCGGGAUGAUAAUGACAGUACCGGGAGAAUAAGCUCCGGCUAACUCCGUG